GCACGUGCGAUAUUCCGUAGCUGUACUUGUAGGUCAGGUCCGGUCCGGCCUUGAAUCUGAUCCCAUACGAAACCUCCGCGCGUGCUACAACCGUUCGCUCCUCUGCCAUUGUACCUUCGUAUUCAAGCACAAAAACAAACAAACCCUAACCCUAACCCUAAUCGAAACCCCCUUAUCCGAUCAUGGCCACCGAUGCCCGUGACUCGCGUCGCAAGCAUCACCGAUCUUCCUCUCCAGAGGACGUGGACAGAUCCUCGAAGCGUCACAAGCACCGCCAUAACAGCCAUCGCCACCGCCACGGGAGCAAAAAGCGCGACGAAGAGGUUGAAUUCGAUGAUCGAACAAUUGCUGCGGUUCCUUCUCCAACUCCGCACAGAUAUCUCCCUGACGACGAUGUGGAGGAGGGAGAGAUCCUUGAAGAUGAGGCUCUCGACGGUGAGGUUGAAAAAAAGGAGACGGAAUCUGAUGUUGAACCCGGUGAAAUCAAGGUGACAGGAGAUCGAGAUGUUCGAUCUGAUAAUCAAAAUUCGGAACCCCUCACUAAAAUUUCAGAAACUAGAAAUGAAGACAUUAGGGAUGAUAAAUUUAUUAGUCCUGCAAUUGAUGCACAAGAUGAUGUCUCUCCUAAUCGUUCAAGUUCUGAGACUCGAGAUGGAAAGCAUGCUCAAGCUCGUACAGAUGGUGUGGGCAAUGGUUAUUUGGAUCCUAAAUCUUCCAAAGGGGAUAAGUGGCAGAAUGGGGAACUUGGACAUUUUAAAGGUAAUGAGAAACUAAAAGGUGACUUUCAUGACCCAACACUGGAGGCUAACGUGAGGAAAGCACAUUACCAUAGGAAUUCAUCCUCCGAAAGUGGAGGAGAAAAGUAUAGAAUGUCAGGAAGUUCUCCUUCUCAUGGUAGAUAUAGAAGUCGAUCAAGAUCAAUUGGUCAUACUAGAGACAGGUCUCGCUCUCGUAGUAUCAUAGACGAAUAUCCUCAUUCUAAGAGAAGGCGCUUUGACUAUGACCAUGAUGAGGAAAGAGUGAGGGCACGUGGAAGGGAGCAUGGUCAUGGCAGUGUGAUAGAUGAUAGAAGGGAAUACGGUAUCAGAUAUCACAAUCGAGAGGCCAGGGAUAGAGAUGUGGAUAGAGACUUGCACGGAGAAAAGAAGCAAGAGGAAACUAGCAGGGGUAAAGAGAUUGAGUGGGAACACAAAAGGGGAAAGGAACGUGAAAGGAGCCGUGAUAGGUAUAGAAGGGAUAUAGAAAAAGAUAGGAGCAGGGAGAGGGAGGAGGAUAGGGACAGGAGACAAGAAAAGGAAAGAGAUAGGAGCUGGGAUACAGUGAUGGAGAGGGAUAGGAGAAGGGAAAAGGAAAGAGAUAGAAGUAGGGACAGAAUAAGAGGUGGCAAGAGAGAUAAAGACCCAGAGAAUGAAAGGGAUGAUAAGCAUCGGGCAAGAGAUAAUAUUAAGAAGAGGGAAAGACAUGAUGAUAAAUAUAGGCACAAAGAUAGAGACACUGCUAAUGGUAAGAAUAGGCAUCUGCAUCAUGAGGAUGGUGACGACAAUGGAGAUAGAUAUAGAAAACAUUCAAGGCAUGAAGAAAAUGAAUAUCGUUGGGAAAGAAAAAGAAAUUCUGAUAAUCCUGUAAAGGUUUAUAGCUCAAUGGGAAGUACUGCAGAAGUGGGUGAAAGCAAACUAACAAGCAGUGAGGUUGAACCAGAUGACUUAGAGGAGGAUACAUUACAAUUACCUGAGCAAGAAGAGGAAGAUCUCAACAGGAUCAAAGAAGAGAGUAGAAGAAGAAGGGAAGCAAUAAUGGAGAAAUACAAGAAGCAGCAUCAGCAAGUAGAAGAAGCGGUUGGAAAUGAAGGAAACGACAAGAAGGCAGCCAUUCCUAAUGACAUCUCUGAAGCUCGUGAUGGUAAAAAUGAUGAUGCUGAUUAUUUGGAGCCAUCAUUUGCUGUUGGGAAAUCUCCUGAAAAUGUGAAUGUUGCUUCUAAGAAGAUGUCUCCUGCUGGAGGUCUGGGAGAGGGUACUCCAAAGAGUGAAAGGUCAGAGGACAAGUUUUGUGAUGAUAUAUUUGGUGAGACGCCAACGGGAGUUCGGAAAUCAGGAAAAGGAGAUGGUUUACUGAUUGAGAGGGCUGGCCUACAUGACAAUUGGGACGAUGCAGAGGGUUAUUAUAGCUAUCGUAUUGGUGAAAUACUUGAUGGCCGAUAUGAAGUCACUGCUGCACAUGGGAGGGGUGUCUUUUCAACAGUUGUUCGCGGAAAGAAUCUAAAGAUGGGAAAUGGUGAGCCAGAAGAAGUAGCCAUAAAAAUUAUUCGUAGUAAUGACACCAUGUACAAGGCUGGUAUGGAUGAAUUGGUCAUAUUGAAGAAAUUAGUAGGUGCAGAUCCAGAUGAUAAGCGUCAUUGUGUUCGUUUCCUUUCAAGUUUUAGAUACAGGAAUCAUCUUUGUUUAGUUUUUGAAUCUCUAAAUAUGAAUCUGCGAGAGGUUUUAAAGAAGUUUGGUCGCAAUAUUGGCCUUAGGCUAACAGCUGUGAGAGCAUACGCAAAACAGCUUUUUAUUGCUCUGAAGCAUCUCCGGAACUGUGGUGUUCUUCAUUGUGAUAUAAAGCCAGAUAAUAUGUUGGUAAAUGAGUCUAAAAAUGUUUUGAAGCUUUGUGACUUUGGCAAUGCCAUGUUUGCUGGUAAAAAUGAAGUUACACCAUAUCUUGUGAGUCGUUUUUAUCGUGCCCCGGAAAUAAUACUUGGCUUGCCAUAUGAUCAUCCAUUGGAUAUUUGGUCUGUAGGUUGUUGUUUGUAUGAGUUGUAUAUAGGGAAGGUUCUUUUCCCAGGUCUUACAAACAAUGACAUGCUACGGCUUCACAUGGAACUGAAGGGUCCUUUUCCAAAGAAGAUGCUGCGUAAGGGAGCAUUUACUGAACAGCAUUUUGAUCAGGAUCUGAAUUUUCUUGCUACUGAGGAGGAUCCUGUAACAAAAAAGACCAUAAAGCGGCUGAUACUCAACAUUAAGCCAAAAGAUAUUGGGACACUCAUUACUGGCUCUCCUGGGGAGGAUCCAAAAAUGUUAGCCAACUUUAAGGAUCUUCUGGAAAAAGUUUUUGUCUUGGAUCCAGACAAGAGGCUGACAGUGUCACAAGCUCUGAACCACCCAUUCAUCACUGGCAAGUGAAUAAUGCUGCUGAACUUGACUCCCAAAAUGAUACUGAUAUUUGUACAUAAUGAUCCAAUUGAUAUUGAGGUUCUAAUUAUUUGGUACUAUUUAUCUUCUGUGUAUGGCCCAAGGAGUGUCAUCACAGUUGUCGGCAUGUUGAAGUGAAAUAUGGUGAUUUUGCUACAGGCGUACACUUUACUGGCGGUUCUUUCAGUGGAAUGUACUGUUUCUAUUGAGACAUAUCACUGGUUUGAGGCAUCCCUUCCAUGCUUAGAUGCUUAAAAGCAACCCAGGAGAAGGUACCUUGGCUUGUUUAUUGGGAGAUUAAUUUCACUGUGCUGGAAUGAAUUAUGGUUUCCAUUAAAAUUCAUUGGCAGUGCCAAUAGAAUAACUGCCACAUUUGAGUGGGAGUUUAUUGUUGAUAAUGUUUGAGCACAUCUGAGCACAUUAAUUGUUUAUGUUGUUAGCUAGGUACAUGGGUUAGGGGGAGGGGAAAUGGUUAGUAUCGAACCUGCUUCCUCAUCCAGAUACAUUUGCCUAGCUGCUACUGCCUUUAAAUCAUUUCAGUAUAAAUGAUGGAAUCCCAAGCACUGCCUUUUCUGCUUCCUUUUUAUUCUUUUCAGUUAUGUAACUUGAGUUGGGUGUGUAGAUAUCUUAUUUCUUCAAAUGUACUUGAGCAUCUCUUUCCAUCUGAUGUCUUGAAUUCUUUUGUUAACAUUUAUUUUCUUAAAUUUACCUAUAUGUAUAUCCUAAUGAACUUGUGUUGCAUCUUAUCCAUGGUCGGUCAUUCUGGAGGCAAUUCCACUGGAUGUGUUUCGCUGUGUUCUUGAAGCGAAUUCAUUUCAUGGUCGUGCAUCUUGGCCCUGCAAUUUUUGUAAGUAUAUUCAAGUCCAAUUCCUCUCUCAUCUUUUGUCAAUGUUGAUUGCAUUGAUGGUCCUUGGCAUCCAGUUUCGUAGAAAUUUCACACCAAGUUCUUGAUUCUGUUUCUAAAUUUUAUGAAUAUCAAGUUUCCAAUUGUGUUAAAACUUACCUGUUGUGUGUUUCGGAUGUUUAAUGUAGAUGGGGUUUAGGUCAUCAUUUUUGUGGUAGGGUUCUGUGCCAGUGUUGUUUCUUCUGAUUAAACAUGCUGUUCUUGGCUAUGCUUCUGUUUCAUGCUCUCCUAAACCCCUAACAUUGUUUGAUCAGUUUUGUGCUUUUUCUUGACACUCGUUGGCGAGCAUGUUGAUUCCGUUUUAUUUAUUUUAGAGAAUGGAACGGAGUUUUAUUUUUUUUGGUAAAAUUCAUUUCUUGAAGUAACGCAAUACACGUACACACUCUUAAUCACACUUCCGUUAAUGUGAGUUUUGGGUAUUUCUAAAUUUAGGGGGAGGGGAGGUUAGCCCAGUCUAGGUUUGGGAUAGAGCCUUACAGGGGACUUGCAAAUAACCCACCUCCGGAUUCAAAACUCAAUUUUUUUGGUAGCCUUCAGUGUUCAUCAUGGGCAGAGGGUGACAAGGUGAGCCAAAUUCUUUUGGUAGCCUUCAGUGUAUUGGGCAUCAUGGCAUUUACAUUAUGUUAAUCUACCUUUUUUUAUAUUUUCAAUUUUGAGAAUGAAGAGAAAAUAAAAUAGCUUUAAAAUUUUAAAUAAAAUAAUCAUUAGCCGUAGCUUAUGAUAUCAAUUGAUCUAAGUCAACCUCACCCAGUGGGAGAAGAUUUACUUGAUAGCCAUAGCUUUACUAAUUUCUGAGUUCUAUAAUUGGAAACAACUACCUAAUGACCACCACUUCCUAUUUUAUGGAUAAAUCUUGUAUCUUGGAGAAACAAAUAAGAUUUGUCUCAAAUGUUGUGAUUAAUGGAAACCUUUCAAAACGGGGUUGUCCUUGGAUGUGGGUAGUUUCUACCUGAUUAUCUAGAAAACUCUGUUUUGCUUGAUAUAUGUCACGUUUAUUCAUUUAAUACCCUGAUCUCUUCUGCUGUGUAAUGUUGUAAAUAGCAUUUUCCACAAGUAAAGCAUUUUUGUAAAGUAUUCCAAAAAGAAUGUCGAUUUCCAGAGUACCAAUUUUCAUGGGUAAGAAAUACUGCAAGACUGGUAGUUUGGAGUGAAUAUUUUUUGAGUCAGCUAACGGAGAUUGAACAUAUAGAGAAUAGUGGAAAUGAAGUGGCAAUUACACAGGGUAGUGCGGUAUUGCAUGGUAGGCCUAGGCCUCAGUUUUAUUCUCAGAAUUCUCUGACCCUGCCGGUCCAGCUUCUACACAUGGUAUUGCAUGUGUUAUUAGCUUUCCUCCUCUGAGGAACAACCUGGGUUGCAAAAGAAUGUAACUAUGAUAUCCUCACCCCUGAAACCCACGUGGACUUGUCUCUGAUUCCCCACUCUAUGAAGACUUGUAUAUAAAUAAAUGAUUGUUAUUCCACUUUCUCAAAAACUAAUAGUUUGGGCAGGGCAGUACCCAAACACAAAUGUACGAUGUACGUGUGUAAGUUAGAUCGAGAUAUGGAAAUGAAAAUACGAUCUGGUGGAGUUGGUAGUCCUUUUAUAAA